rnacentral:rRNA from 1 species
CUGACGCUGAUGGACGAAAGCGUGGGGAGCGAACAGGAUUAGAUACCCUGGUAGUCCACGCCGUAAACGAUGCUAACUCGUUUCUGGUUAUUCGGAAUCAGAGACUAAGCGAAAGUGAUAAGUUAGCCACCUGGGGAGUACGAACGCAAGUUUGAAACUCAAAGGAAUUGACGGGGGCCCGCACAAGCGGUGGAUUAUGUGGUUUAAUUCGAUGAUACGCGAGGAACCUUACCAAGACUUAAAUGGGAAUUGACAGAUUUAGAAAUAGAUCCUCCUUCGGGCAAUUUUCAAGGUGCUGCAUGGUUGUCGUCAGCUCGUGCCGUGAGGUGUUAGGUUAAGUCCUGCAACGAGCGCAACCCCUGUCACUAGUUGCCAUCAUUCAGUUGGGGACUCUAGUGAGACUGCCUACGCAAGUAGAGAGGAAGGUGGGGAUGACGUCAAAUCAUCACGGCCCUUACGUCUUGGGCCACACACGUAAUACAAUGGCCGGUACAGAGGGCAGCUACACAGCGAUGUGAUGCAAAUCUCGAAAGCCGGUCUCAGUUCGGAUUGGAGUCUGCAACUCGACUCUAUGAAGCUGGAAUCGCUAGUAAUCGCGCAUCAGCCAUGGCGCGGUGAAUACGUUCCCGGGCCUUGUACACACCGCCCGUCAAGCCAUGGAAGUCUGGGUACCUGAAGUCGGGACCUAACAGGAGCUGCCUAGGUAAACA